UCCUACGGGAGGCAGCAGUGGGGAAUAUUGGACAAUGGGGGCAACCCUGAUCCAGCAAUGCCGCGUGUGUGAUGAAGGCCUUAGGGUUGUAAAGCACUUUCACUGGUGAAGAUGAUGACGGUAGCCAGAGAAGAAGCCCCGGCUAACUUCGUGCCAGCAGCCGCGGUAAUACGAAGGGGGCGAGCGUUGUUCGGAAUUACUGGGCGUAAAGGGAGCGCAGGCGGUUCAUUUAGUCAGGCGUGAAAGCCCUGGGCUCAACCCGGGAACUGCGCUUGAUACUGAUGGGCUUGAAAUCAGGAGAGGAUAGUGGAAUUCCCAGUGUAGAGGUGAAAUUCGUAGAUAUUGGGAAGAACACCGGUGGCGAAAGCGGCUAUCUGGCCUGAAUUUGACGCUGAGGCUCGAAAGCGUGGGGAGCAAACAGGAUUAGAUACCCUGGUAGUCCACGCCGUAAACGAUGACAGCUGGAUGUUGGGAGGAUGCCUCUCAGUGUCGCACGCUAACGCAUUAAGCUGUCCGCCUGGGAAGUACGGUCGCAAGAUUAAAACUCAAAGGAAUUGACGG
rnacentral:rRNA from 1 species